rnacentral:lncRNA from 1 species
AUGAGGCCACAGUCGGUGCUCCGGGGGGCUCACCUGCUCUGGAGGGCUUCACACCAGGGAACCUGCUCUAGUGGGGCGUGGCCUGCUUGUACGGAGACUUCCUGCUCUGCAGUGAUGUUCCAUUCAGCUUCUGAGGGAGAUCUGCAGUCUCAGACCUGGUUGCAGCAUCCAGGCCACGACUGGACUGCCUGUGCUGAGAACUUCAGAGGCGCAAUACCCCACAUGAGAGGGGAAAGUGUUGCCAGAGCACUGGAGCGCACAUCCGAACUGGGGAGCUUGCUGGCUGUGGACCUUAGAAAUUUCUUUACAUUGUUUUUUAGCCUCCGUGUCUUUAUCUGCAAAAUGGGAUUACUAAUGUCUACCGUACAUGAUUGUUGUGAGGACGAAAACAGACAGGCAUUUCAAGCACUCAGUAAGAACUCUAUGAAUAGCACCUAUUUAUUAUGUCCAGCUGGCAAAGGGCUUUGUGGGCACUUCAAAAGCAACAUGUGA